rnacentral:rRNA from 1 species
UCACAUAACGAAGCUGGAGAAUAUGCUCCAUUGAAUACUAUGCAGUUGCAGGAACUACAUCCUAGAGAUUGUGCGGGAACCAAAGAGUGUUACACCGGUUUAUCAUUACCACAAGAAAAAAUGGUCGCUAAGAAAGCACACAUCAAAAAGUUUGAUAGGGCCAAUGAAGGAAGUGUAGACUCAACUUUGCCGGACAAGCAGAUCUCUACCCAGGAAUUGCAUCCUAGGUUUUCUAUGAGAACCAAAGAGGAUUACAUUGGUUUAUCUUUACCACACAUGGUUGCUAAGAAGGCAUGCAUUGAAAAAUUUGAUAAGGACAAUCAAGGCCAUGCAGAAUCAACCAAAGAGGGUUACACCAAUCAAGGAAGUGCGGAAUUUACUUUGCCAGAUAAGCAGAUUACUGCCCAGGAAUUGCAUCCUAGCUUUUCUUCGAGAACCAAAGAGGAUUACACUGGUUCAUCUUUACCACACAUGGUUGCU